GUCUACAGCCAUACCACCCUGAAUGCACGUGAUCUCUUCUAAUCUCAGAAGCUAAGCAGGGUCGGGCCUGGUUAGUACUUGGAUGGGAGGAAAGUGACAAUUGCAGAAA
rnacentral:rRNA from 1 species